rnacentral:rRNA from 1 species
AACGCGAAGAACCUUACCUGGGUUUGACAUGCAUCGCUUAGCCGGUGAAAGCCGGUGAGCCGGGGUAACCCGGCGCUCUGCACAGGUGCUGCAUGGCUGUCGUCAGCUCGUGUCGUGAGAUGUUGGGUUAGGUCCCGCAACGAGCGCAACCCCUGCGUCCAGUUGCCAGCGGGAAAGCCGGGGACUCUGGACGGACUGCCCAGAUCAACUGGGAGGAAGGUGGGGACGACGUCAAGUCAGUAUGGCCCUUAUGCCCAGGGCUGCACACGUACUACAAUGCCCAGCACAAUGUGAACCGAACCUGCGAGGGGGAGGAAAUCUGUGAAAACUGGGCUCAGUUCGGAUUGCAGGCUGCAACCCGCCUGCAUGAAGCUGGAAUCGCUAGUAAUGGCGCAUCAGCUACGGCGCCGUGAAUACGUUCCCGGGUCUUGUACACACGC